UACUAACCUAGAAAUUACCUACAAUUGUCAUUUUACCAUAUGAUCUUGUAAAAAUAUUGUCACAAUCUGUUACUUUUGUGUCAAAUAAUCUUCAUUUUUAUCAUUGACUGGUUAUCUAUUUAGUUAGAGUAUUAUAAUAUCCAACCAAUUAUACAUCUACAAGUAGGUACAUAUAAGUCGUUUUAAUAUGCAAAUACCCGUCAAGGAAUACAUAAUUUUCUAAGUUCAAUGCAUAAUAAUCACAGAGAUGCGUUUUUUUUACCUGUCACUUCCAACUGUAAUGCGUUAGAGAGAAUUCGUUAAUCUGUGACGCACUGAAAAAAGGGUUUGGGAUAUCUAUAAUAUAUCUUACUCAUACAUUCGACUGAUCAUAUUUCUUCCUUAUAGGUGAAUUAAAACUUGGUGAUGAUUCAUUAAAAAUUGCUGCCACUGAAACUUGUCCAAAAACUCCCGAAGGCAAAGAAGGUGUUUGCUCUCUCAUUAAAGAUUGCCCUCAAGUAUUCCCACAAUUGACUGACUUCGAAGUAUACAAGACCUUCUCCUGUGUUAUGCAAAAAGAAUAUGCUGGAGUCUGCUGCCCAAAGAAAGCUGAAGUUGCUGCUUAAGAAUAUUGUUGAUUGUUGUUAUUUUCUAAUGAAAUCUAGAAGUUGUUAAAGGUUAUAUUUUUAUAAGUGUAAUUUUUUUUUUAAAUAUAUAAAUUCAUUUUUAA
rnacentral:lncRNA from 1 species